GAGGAGGGGGCGGAUUGGAAUGCCGCGGCACCAGGCUAGGUUGGAGCCUCCCUCGGCUGCUGCUGGGAUGGUCCACGCACUGGCGCCGUCACGUGUUUCUCUCCUUGGAGUGAGACUGAGUCUCGGUGGCGGCUGGAGGGGGCCGGACUCAUAAACACAGACACCGCCGCUUGUUUGGGUUUGGGGCGCUCCGAAACUCCGAGAAGCAGCCGGAGGAGGAGAAGUCAGCCAGGCAGCCCCAGACCCGCCUUCAGCCUGGGGCACGGGAGGGGGCUUUGCUGUUGGCCUCGGCGCCUUUCCCGACUGGAAUGAGGAGGAGGAGGAAGAGAGGAUGUUCCUUCCCCACUUGGGCUGCUUCCCCUCCUGCUGCUGCUGCCUGGUUGCAUUUUGUGUUGAAAUGGCACUUUCUCUUCCUAACGAGAUGGGACUGAAUGGGGUCGCCAGCCGCCUCACGCAUAAGCAGUAGCAGCAGCCUCGGCGCUGAUUUUGGGGCUGGGCUGUGUUUUUUGGGGGGGAGAAGAGGCGUGUGUUUUGGGGUGUAAGCCCCGGACUUUGCAAAACAAACCGUUACCCAGAGGAUCUUUAAUCUGCUACAGAUAUUGCGCUCGCUGAGGCGAAGUUGUGAAGGGGAGGGGUGUUUUGGAGCGAAGCAAGGGGGACCCCUUCCUGCUCCUCUCUACAGAGGAAUCCGACCCAUACGACUGAAAGAUGCGUUUCUUCUCCUCCCCGGCGGCGGCUGCUGGGAGAACUAGACUUUCAUCUGGACUGACUGAGACUGGACUCUUUAUGGAUAUAUUGACCCUCCUGAGGGUGAUUUGGGCAUAAAUAGCCAUAUAAACGCUGCUGUGGUGCUGGAAGCUGCCUCUGCCACUGAACAGCUGCUCUCGCCCUGCCAGUAUCCCCUCCCCCCAUCCCCUUUUGGAGAGGGGAUUCUGAGCUAGUUUGCUUUUUUAUUAUGAUUGUUGUUGCAUAAAUUGCAUUUUAAGAGGUGUUUUUUUUCCUGCCUUGCUUGGCAGUUUUGGGGGCCUGUGGGCUGAUAGCUACGGUAAAAACACCACCACCUCUCCUUCCAUCAUGGCUAGCCCCACGGAUAAUAAUGAGGGCUUCUUCUCGGAUGUCAGGAAGGUGGGUUACUUGCGCAAACCCAAGAGCAUGCAUAAACGCUUCUUCGUGCUGAGGGCAGCCAGCGAGUCAGGACCUGCCCGGCUGGAGUACUAUGAGAAUGAGAAGAAAUGGAGACAUAAGUCAGGAGCCCCCAAGCGUUCCAUCCCACUGGAGAGCUGCUUCAACAUCAACAAACGGGCAGACUCCAAGAACAAGCACCUGGUGGCCCUCUAUACCAAGGACGAGCACUUUGCCAUUGCAGCUGACAGCGAGCCUGAGCAGGAGAGCUGGUACCAAGCCUUGCUGCAGUUGCACAAUCGGGCCAAGGGCCACCACCACCUCCAUCACCGUCACCACCACCACCACAGUGAUGUCUCCUUUGGGGGUGGCAGUGCAGGGCUGGGGGAGGCAGGUGACGAUAGCUAUGGUGAGGUGGUCCCUGGCCCAGCUUUCAAGGAGGUUUGGCAAGUGAUCCUGAAACCUAAGGGUCUGGGCCAGACCAAGAACCUGAUCGGCAUCUACCGCCUGUGCCUGACCAACAAAACCAUCAGCUUUGUGAAGCUGAACUCAGAUGCAGCUGCUGUGGUACUGCAGCUGCUCAACAUCCGCCGCUGUGGCCACUCAGAGAACUUCUUUUUCAUAGAGGUUGGGCGUUCAGCGGUGACUGGGCCUGGUGAGUUCUGGAUGCAGGUGGAUGAUUCAGUGGUGGCACAGAACAUGCAUGAGACCAUCCUGGAAGCCAUGCGGGCCAUGAGUGAGGAAUUCCGGCCCCGCAGCAAGAGCCAGUCCUCUUCCAACUGCUCCAAUCCCAUCUCUGUGCCCCUCCGCAGCAGACACCAUGUCAACAACCCCCCACCCAGCCAGGUGGGGCUCAGUCGCAGGUCCAGGACUGAGAGCGUGACUGCUACCUCCCCUGCUGGGGGUGGUGGUGGUGGUGGAGGAGGAGGAACAGGGGGCAAACCCAGCUCUUUCCGAGUCCGAGCCUCUAGUGAUGGGGAAGGAACUAUGUCCAGGCCUGCCUCUGUGGAUGGCAGUCCAGUAAGUCCCAGUGCCAACCGGACCCACUCACAUCGGCACCGUGGCAACUCCAGGCUUCACCCUCCUCUCAACCACAGUCGCUCCAUCCCAAUGCCUUCUUCACGCUGUUCCCCUUCAGCCACCAGCCCAGUCAGCCUGUCAUCCAGCAGCACCAGUGGCCAUGGCUCCACCUCAGACUGCCUCUUCCCACGCAGGUCGAGUGCUUCGGUAUCAGGCUCCCCCAGUGAUGGUGGUUUCAUCUCCUCUGAUGAAUAUGGCUCCAGCCCCUGCGAUUUCCGCAGCUCUUUUCGCAGUGUGACUCCAGACUCUCUUGGUCACACCCCGCCAGCACGGGGGGAUGAGGAGCUCAACAACUACAUCUGUAUGGGGGGCAAGGCUGCCUCGUCCUGCAGCUUGGCCGCUCCCAAUGGCCACUUCAUCCCUCGCAAUUGUCACCCACAGCAUCAGCAGUGCCGCUAUCCUGGCACCCCAUGCUGCCCCCGGAGUGGUGGAGAGGAGGUAACUGACCUGGAGAAGGGCUUCAGGAAGCGGACUCACUCUGCAGGCACCUCACCCACCAUCUCCCACCAGAAGACACCCUCACAGUCUUCAGUAGCCUCCAUUGAGGAGUACACGGAAAUGCUGCCUUCCUACCCUUGUGGUGGCAACCGGCUGCCCUCCUACCGGCACUCUGCCUUUGUGCCCACUCACUCCUAUCCUGAGGAGCAUUUGGAGAUGCACCACUUGGAGGGCAGCCACCACCGGACCAACUCCACCCCACACACUGAUGACGGCUACAUGCCAAUGUCACCUGGGGUGGCCCCUGUGCCCAGCACUGGUGGCACUCCUAAAGGUGGUGACUAUAUGCCCAUGAGCCCCAAGAGCGUGUCAGCCCCACAGCAGAUCAUCAACCCUGGCAGGGGGGGUCGCCACGCCCAAGCCAUGGUGGACUCCAAUGGGUACAUGAUGAUGUCCCCUAGUGGCAGCUGUUCGCCUGAUGGUGGUCCCGCCGGCUACGGCAAAAUGUGGACUAAUGGGGCUGGCCACCACCCAAAGCUCUCGGUAGAGAGCAGCGAAGGGAAGCUCCCCUGCAGCGGCGGUGACUACAUCAACAUGUCCCCAGCCAGCGGCUCCGCCACAAGCACCCCCCCGGACUGCUACUUCGCCAGCUCGGGGCCGCCGGGCCCGGAGGAGGCCUCGGCGCAGGGCCCGGCCGAGCCCCCCCACAAGCCCAUCUACUCCUACUUCUCCCUGCCGCGCUCCUUCAAACACGUGCAGCGCAGGGCAGCCGAGGAGAGCGGCCCCCAGCUGCGCAUCUCCCUCAGCUCCGGCCGCUUGCUCUACGCCGCGGAGGACUCGUCCUCUUCCACCAGCAGCGACAGCCUCGGGGGAGGCGGGGGCCAGGAGGGCGCCGGAGGUGGCUACCAGGCGCAGCCCCCGCCGCAGCAGCAGCCUACCCGUCAGGCGGCCGCGCAGAGCAGGAGCCGCCUGACCAGACCCACCCGCUUGUCUCUGGACGGUCCCAAGGCCAGCACCCUGCCGCGGGCGCGGGAGCAGCCCCCGCUGCUGCUGCCACCAGAGCCCAAGAGCCCCGGCGAGUACGUGAACAUUGAGUUCGGGGCCAGUGACAAGCCGGCGGCCGCGCGGCCCCGAGGGGAUGAAGGCUCCGAGUACAUGAACAUGGAGCUGGGGCCGCCGCGGGCUGCCUGCCAAGCCGGCUUCGCAGCCGUACGGGCGGCAGCUGCGGCCCGGCCAGGCCGAGGAGCUGCUGCCCUCAGCAGCCGGGACUACGUGACUAUGGAACAGGGGGGCGGUGUCGGGGGGCCCUGCCCGGGCUGCGCCGACCCCCCGUCCCCCGCCCUCUUGCUCAGCUACGCCGACAGGCGGCCGGGCCGCGCCGUCACGGAAACCCCCCCUGCUACCCCUGCCUCCGCCCAGGCGCAGCCGCCGGCCGAGCUGGCCGCGGCGCCACCGCGCUCCUCCUCCCUGAUGGGAGGCCCGGGGGUGAACAGCGCCUUCACCCGCGUCAGCCUCAGCCCCGGCCGCAAUCAGAGCGCCAAAGUGAUCCGCGCCGACCCGCAGGGGGGCCGCCGGCGGCACAGCUCCGAGACCUUCUCCUCCACCCCCAGCAACGCCCGCGGCACGGCGGGCAGCGGCGGCCUCAACGCGCCCUUGCUCUACGGGGCGGGGGGCGCCGAGGAGGUGAAACGCCACAGCUCGGCCUCCUUCGAGAACGUCUGGCUCCGGCCUGCCGCGGGGGAGUUGGGGGCGGCCGCCAGGAGGGAGCAGCAGCCCCUCGGGGCCGGGGGUGGCUUUGAGAACGGACUCAACUACAUCGACCUGGACUUAGUGAAGGAUUUUAAUCAGCGUCGCCAACACCCCCACCACCCCCAGGAGGGCACCUCUGUGCUGGGGGGGAGGCAGCCUCCGCCCAAAGCCCCGAAUCAGCCUUGUGGGAGUAGCCACUCUAGCGACGAUUUGAGUGCAUAUGCCAGCAUCAGCUUCCAGAGGCGGGAGGACGUCUAAUAGCUGGGCAAGAGCCAGAGAGAAGCUGCUCCUUCUCCCCCCUCCACGAUUUAAUGAACAAAAGUUAAGAACACAUCCUCUGUAAUAAUCAGCAUAUACAGUACUAAGUUGUGACUUACACAUGGACACACACUCUCCUGUGGUUCCCAUUUUAUAAGAAAAAGAAACCUACAAUCUGCAGGCUGCAACUCACUUUCCUGUUACUCAACCCAUUGAUGGACAAUAAUUUCUUUUUCAAAAUUGGAAAGAAUGAUGACCUAUACAACCUCAGCAAAUCCUUCUUUUAACUCAUGGGUAUCCAGACUAUAAAUGUUACAUGAAUCACAACUAGGACCUCACAUCCUCCUCUUCGUCCAUAGAUGGGUACGAUGCAUCCAGUUCAGUUUGUUUACUUUACACAAACCUCAGGAGUUAGUUGACUGAACUGCACAUUCUAUGUUGUGCCAAGCAAAAGCACUGUGACACCUGGACAAUGAGUUUCUAUUACUUCAUCCUCUACCAUAAGGACUUAGCUGGACACAAUGAACUGAUGUGCCCACCACUAUGUCAUGGUGAGAAUGGGUAUUGUACUAGCACAUUUACGUGAUACAUUACAUUUCAUUUGCUGCUGAAAACCUGUAUGACAAAUCAUCAUUGUAAAUUAUUACAUACAAAACUGUUAAUGUUGGUUGAAGAGUAUUAAAUAUUUAACAUAGGUUUUGAUUUAUACAUGUACUUUUUUAAUUAAAAUGUAACUUUUCCUACAGCACAUCUUUUUUUGAUGUGGAACUGAGAUAUACUAUAUUCUGUUGUAAACAGAGUGGGGAACCUGCUUAAAACAAGGCUAAUAAGAAUAGAGUAGGGUACUAUUCUUGUUUUAAGAUUGUAAUUCAGAAAAUAAUAUAAUAUGAAUCAUUGGCCCCUGAGCCUUGAUUGUACAGUCAUAUUUACUGAUACUAUCAGUUGUAAGAUAACCCUGAUGUUGAGCUAAAUUCUUUCCAAAAUAAAAAAUAAUAAUUUUGUACUCCUUGUAAAAUAGGCUGUAUUAACUCAAAUGAAGAUAAACUUACUGUAGAUGGUAUUUACAAGCAUCAAAUUGAACUCAUCUGUUGUACAGAAACUUACAAAAAGCAGAAAAAAGAAAUCAACGUCUUCCAUUGUAUAUAUUGUUAGGAGAAAAAAGGAAAAAAAAAAAGAACCAUGGGUGAAGUCUUCAAAUCAAAACUCUUCCUGGAAUGAAAAAUGUGGGUGUUUGUAAAUUCUGGAAAUCUUUCUAUACAUAAUAAAUUAGAUACUGUUU